GAUGAACGCUGGCGGUAUGCCUAACACAUGCAAGUCGUACGAGAGUUUUUUAACUCUAGUGGCGGACGGGUGAGUAACACGUGAGAAUUUGCCUUUAGGAGGGGGAUAACAAUUGGAAACGAAUGCUAAUACCCCAUAUGCUUUUGAGUGAAAUGGAUUUUAUCCGCCUAGAGAGAAGCUCGCGGCUGAUUAGCUUGUUGGUAAGGUAAGAGCUUACCAAGGCGACGAUCAGUAUCUGGUUUGAGAGGACGAUCAGACACACUGGAACUGAGACACGGUCCAGACUCCUACGGGAGGCAGCAGUGGGGAAUUUUCCGCAAUGGGCGAAAGCCUGACGGAGCAAUACCGCGUGAGGGAAGAAUGCCUAUGGGUUAUAAACCUCUUUUUCAGGGAGGAAUAAAAUGACGUGUACCUGAAGAAUAAGCAUCGGCUAACUCCGUG
rnacentral:rRNA from 1 species